rnacentral:rRNA from 1 species
UUGGAGGGCAAGUCUGGUGCCAGCAGCCGCGGUAAUUCCAGCUCCAAUAGCGUAUAUUAAAGUUGUUGCAGUUAAAAAGCUCGUAGUUGAAUUUCGGGGUCAGUAGGUUGGUCAUGCCACUGGUAUGUACUGGUCUCACUGAUUCCUCCUUCCUGAUGAGCCGUAAUGCCAUUAAUUUGGUGUUGCGAGGAAUCUGGACUGUUACUUUGAAAAAAUUAGAGUGUUUAAAGCAAGCUAACGCUUGAAUACAUUAGCAUGGAAUAAUGAAAUAGGACGUUCGAUCCUAUUUUGUUGGUUUCUAGGAUUGACGUAAUGAUUAAUAGGGAUAGUUGGGGGCAUUAGUAUUCAAUUGUCAGAGGUGAGAUUCUUGGAUUUAUUGAAGACUAACUACUGCGAAAGCAUUUGCCAAGGAUGUUUUCAUUAAUCAAGAACGAAAGUUAGGGGAUCGAAGACGAUCAGAUACCGUCGUAGUCUUAACCAUAAACUAUGCCGACUAGGGAUCGGAUGAUGUUAAUUUUUUAAUGACUCAUUCGGCGCCUUACGGGAAACCAAAGUGUUUGGGUU